rnacentral:rRNA from 1 species
AUUGAACGCUGGCGGCAGGCCUAACACAUGCAAGUCGAGCGGGGUUUUCGGACCUAGCGGCGGACGGGUGAGUAAUGCGUAGGAAGCUGCCCGAUAGAGGGGGAUACCAGUUGGAAACGACUGUUAAUACCGCAUAAUGUCUACGGACCAAAGUGUGGGACCUUCGGGCCACAUGCUAUCGGAUGCGCCUACGUGGGAUUAGCUAGUUGGUGAGGUAAUGGCUCACCAAGGCGACGAUCUCUAGCUGGUCUGAGAGGAUGAUCAGCCACACUGGAACUGUGACACGGUCCAGACUCCUACGGGAGGCAGCAGUGGGGAAUAUUGGACAAUGGGCGCAAGCCUGAUCCAGCCAUGCCGCGUGUGUGAAGAAGGCCUUCGGGUUGUAAAGCACUUUCAGCGAGGAGGAAGGGGUGUGUGUUAAUAGUACACACCUUUGACGUUACUCGCAGAAGAAGCACCGGCUAACUCUGUGCCAGCCGCCGCAGUAACAC